rnacentral:rRNA from 2 species
CAGGCCUAACACAUGCAAGUCGAGCGGUAGCACAGAGAGCUUGUUUUCGGGUGACGAGCGGCGGACGGGUGAGUAAUGUCUGGGAAACUGCCUGAUGGAGGGGGAUAACUACUGGAAACGGUAGCUAAUACCGCAUAACGUCGCAAGACCAAAGAGGGGGACCUUCGGGCCUCUUGCCAUCAGAUGUGCCCAGAUGGGAUUAGCUAGUAGGUGGGGUAAUGGCUCACCUAGGCGACGAUCCCUAGCUGGUCUGAGAGGAUGACCAGCCACACUGGAACUGAGAUGGAGGGGGAUAACUACUGGAAACGGUAGGACACGGUCCAGACUCCUACGGGAGGCAGCAGUGGGGAAUAUUGCACAAUGGGCGCAAGCCUGAUGCAGCCAUGCCGCGUGUAUGAAGAAGGCCUUCGGGUUGUAAAGUACUUUCAGCGAGGAGGAAGGCAUUGUGGUUAAUAACCGCAGUGAUUGACGUUACUCGCAGAAGAAGCACCGGCUAACUCCGUGCCAGCAGCCGCGGUAAUACGGAGGGUGCAAGCGUUAAUCGGAAUUACUGGGCGUAAAGCGCACGCAGGCGGUCUGUCAAGUCGGAUGUGAAAUCCCCGGGCUCAACCUGGGAACUGCAUUCGAAACUGGCAGGCUAGAGUCUUGUAGAGGGGGGUAGAAUUCCAGGUGUAGCG